rnacentral:rRNA from 1 species
UACGUAGGGGGCAAGCGUUGUCCGGAAUUAUUGGGCGUAAAGAGCGUGUAGGCGGUCCGGUAAGUCAGCUGUGAAAGUCAGGGGCUCAACCCUUGAAUGCCGGUUGAUACUGUCGGGCUAGAGUCCGGAAGAGGCGAGUGGAAUUCCCGGUGUAGCGGUGAAAUGCGCAGAUAUCGGGAGGAACACCAAUGGCGAAGGCAGCUCGCUGGGACGGUACUGACGCUGAGACGCGAAAGCGUGGGGAGCAAACAGG